AGAUCAUGUUGAGGUCCAACUUCUAAGAAAUCCCUUAUACAUUUCCCAUGCUUCAUACAAUGACUCUCCAACCUCUUGUUGAAAGUUAGCAAUCUUAUUUUUAAGCUU